rnacentral:lncRNA from 1 species
AAAAACUACCCAACCCCAUUCACUUCCUUUACAUACAUGAAAGGUCUUCAGGGAAGAGGGAUGAACACUGACUCCUCUGGGGAGGGGCAGAUAGGAAAUCUGCCUUCUAGAGGAGGACAGAGUUCCUCAGCACACAUUUUCAUGUGAACACUGGGGCCACUGUGGGUGAGGCAGUGGCCUAUGUGAUGUGCAGGAGGUGGGAUCAGAGUCUUCCCCCUCAGAUCAGUGUAUAAACUCAGCUCACACUCACAUGUCACACUCCUUUGUACUAAGUACAGACCAUUUCUCCUCCUUUUUAUCUUUCUCAUAAAUAUCUCCUCUCUCCCUAUUUUCCCAGUAUCAGCGUUACAUAGGUACAGCCUUAUGCCCACAUUCCAGAAGUCAUUCUCAGACUCACCCACCAUUUUACACCUUAAUCCUGUAAAUAACUUCAUAUCACCUGACACAGAUAAACUAUUACCUCACAUGGAUAACCUGUUUUAAUUUCAUAAUGCUACUAGUAGACAAAAUACUAGAAAACUCUUGUGCCCUUCUAAUAUGUAUAUGUUCUCACACAAAAGUCACUUCUUCCACCACGCCUUCAGCCCUUCACAGAGCUGCAUGUGCUGAGGUCAUAAACACUUCCUCCAACAUGUAAGGCUAUUUAUUGUCACACCAUCUACCAAUAUUCACAAUGAAAUCACAUGUGCUAUCUCAUACAGUAUCAGACACACACACACACACAGACACAGCACUAUCUGCUUUUGCCAGUACCAGACAGUCACCAAAGGUCCUGGAUCCUGCAAGAGGCUUUUAAAUCAAGAUUUGAUGGAGAAGGAGAAUUUCUCCUCCAUGGCACAUUCUCAUUUACCUUCCUCCUUGGCCAAUAACCCCCUAGAGUCUGCAACAUCUACUGAAAAGAAAAGAGUCCUGAAUGUCUACUAUCAGCCUGUCCCAAUGAAAAGGGGUACGGCUUCCUUGGGGGAUACAGAAGAUGAUUUGGAGCCCCCCACAAAGAUGACAAGAAUAGCAAGAAUGACCUUUCCUGAGAAGAUCCCUUCAAAAGCCAGCCUCUCUUCUGUGUGCCUAAGAGAUGUCCUAACUGACAGUGAAAAUGGCCUGCCCGGGGAAGGGCAAGAGGAAAGGGAAGAGGCUGAGAAUCUGGCCCGGGAUUCGGUGCUGGAGGACCUGUACAGUGGCUUCAGGUGCAUGGGCUGCGACCAGGUCUUCCCCAAUAUGCGGAUGCUUAAGAAACACCUGGAGGAUGGGGUUGAGGGUGGUGCUUCAUGCCUUAGUCUUGCAUUUGCCAAACUAAGGAACAAAAUGAAGCAAAGCAAGAGAAUCACAGAGGGGGAGGAUGGGAAUAUGACAACAUCUGGAGGUGAUAUGGAGACACUUGUGAUGUUCUUGUUACUUGUGGCUUUUUGUUUUUUCUUUUACUAUUAUAAUAAAUAGAAAUUAAAUCAUAUGUUUCCGGAAGUAAUAAAUUAGAGACAAUAACACAAGAGGACACCAG